CCUUCUCAAGUUUGUGAAGAAUAUGUGGUUGGCAAACAACAUCGUUCACAAUUUCCUAAAGGAAAGUCAUGGAGAGCAAAGCAAGUAUUGGAGCUGAUUCAUUCUGAUAUAUGUGAACCAAUAAAUCCCACUUCAAAUAGAGGUAAAAGGUAUAUAAUUACCUUCAUUGAUGAUUAUACUCGAAAAAUCCAAAGUCAGAAACUUUUGGCAUAUUUAAAAGCUUUAAAGCAAUUGUGUUAAGACAUAAGAAAGAAAUAAAAGCUGAAAUCUAGGCAAAUACAAAACAGAAUUCCCAACUACGACGCAAUGACUUUCUACAUAAUAGGAAUAGAUAUUCACUGCAACUGAAAUAUUACUAAAUAGCUAAAGACUAUGACAAAUUUAAGAUUAAAUAAACUCUAAUCAAAUGACUGCAUAGUAAAUAAGUAAAACAUUAAUUAUUUCUAACACCAUUUAUCACUUUCCUGUAAAUUAUACUUGUAUUUACAACCUCCAUGCCCUGCGUUCUUGCAACCAAUUUCAAACAUAUGCAGCUUUUGUGAUCAUUUUAUCUGAAUUGCAUUUCUUAGAAAAAUGGCCAGCGAGGAUACCUUGUUUUGAUUAAUAUAAAGUGGUGGCAAAUCCUACUUUUCCAAAGACAAAAAAGAAAACCUAUUGCCCAAUCUCAGACGGCCUAUUUUUAUGGCCGUACUGUGGGCUGAAAUUUCCUUUCUUUAAAAAAAAAUAAUUAUUUUCAGGCAUUUCCCAUAUAAUGAGAAAAAGAACUAAUAUAUCUUAGCAUUAGCAGAACUGAAGCUCCUGAAUGCAGUUUUAGAAAUUUUUACUUUUGGUUAUUAGGAUAACACCCGCACCUGCAUUAUUAUUUUUGGUACAACAAUAAAAUGACAAUUAGUACUACUGAUAAAAAAACAUAAACUUAGAAUUAAGUAUCAAUCUUACUAACAUAAAAUAAUGAGUUAUAAAAAUUAAUAUAGUCCGGACGAAUAUUCCUUGUGGGUAAUAUAGCGUUACUUGAACAAUUUUAGUGAAGCUGCACAUUUAAAAUUCGAACUCGAAAUUUUAAAUUAGAAAAAUUUUUUAUUUAUAUAUUAAUCAUACUAACUAUAAAUACUAGAUUAAAAAAAAUUGCUUUUAAGAGAAAUCAUUUUUAAGAAAAAUUAUUUCAAAAAUCAUACAUACAUAUUAGAUAAACAAAAUAAAAUGCUAUCGGUCAGCCUGUACAGAGAAAUAGAUAGUAACACUAGAUAGAGCUUCAACUUGCUAAGUCCCAUAAUCUAAAAAAUAAAAGAUAAUUUAGAUAGUCAGACCAAUUUGGACAAUCUCAUUAUAAUUUUAAUAAAGAACAUUAAAUAAAUUCAUAUCUACAUUAAUAUUACUACUUUUACAUAUUUUCUUAAAGAUGUUUAUGAGUUCAACACUAUUAAUUUUUUACUAUUUUGGGCAAUAUAUGAAAGGUCAUAAAAAUCACCAGUUAAAUAUGCCUUGAUCAGAUUUAUACUGUGGCUCGAGGCGCUUCGUCCAAGAGGUAGACUCUUUCUGAGGAGAGCAUAAGAUUGUUGAUCAGAAGAGCUCCCUAGACCGAACUUCAGUUAAAUGAUGAAGUAAAUGAUGUCUCCUUUCUCUUUGCCAUAUUGACGAAUGGAUUGAGAUUGACAACAGAUUUUGAAAGUCGCAGGAUUGGGAGCUUUAGAGAUCAGAAGAAAUGAUACAGAAGGUGCAAUGUAUAUAUGGAUUUUCAAAAUUUUUGCUGCUUGGAGAAUCCCGC
rnacentral:lncRNA from 1 species